rnacentral:rRNA from 1 species
GAUGAACGCUGGCGGCGUGCCUAAUACAUGCAAGUCGAGCGAACAGACGAGGAGCUUGCUCCUCUGACGUUAGCGGCGGACGGGUGAGUAACACGUGGAUAACCUACCUAUAAGACUGGGAUAACUUCGGGAAACCGGAGCUAAUACCGGAUAAUAUAUUGAACCGCAUGGUUCAAUAGUGAAAGACGGUUUUGCUGUCACUUAUAGAUGGAUCCGCGCCGCAUUAGCUAGUUGGUAAGGUAACGGCUUACCAAGGCGACGAUGCGUAGCCGACCUGAGAGGGUGAUCGGCCACACUGGAACUGAGACACGGCCCAGACUCCUACGGGAGGCAGCAGUAGGGAAUCUUCCGCAAUGGGCGAAAGCUUGACGGAGCAACGCCGCGUGAGUGAUGAAGGUCUUCGGAUCGUAAAACUCUGUUAUUAGGGAAGAACAAAUGUGUAAGUAACUAUGCACGUCUUGACGGUACCUAAUCAGAAAGCCACGGCUAACUACGG